rnacentral:rRNA from 1 species
AUGUGUGUACCCAAACUAUGGGGUGGUAUGGGAUUCCGUGAUAUACAUAGUUUCAACCUUGCGAUGCUUGCCAAACAGUGUUGGCGGCUAAUUGAGAACUAUGACUCUUUAUGUGCAAAGGUAUUGAGAGCAAAGUACUACCCUUCUGGUGACAUUCUGAAUUGUGCUCUAAAAAGGGGAUCAUCUUAUGUAUGGCAAAGCAUAUGGUCAGGUAUCCAAACAUUUAAAAAUGGAUGCAUCUGGAGAGUGGGAAACGGAUUGAAAAUCAAUAUUUGGGAUGAUUGUUGGAUUCCAAAUAGCAACUCGAGGAAGAUAAUUACCCCUAGAGGUAACUGUAUUCUCACUACAGUAAAUGAACUUAUUGAUCCUUCUAAUGGUGAAUGGGAUGAAAUUUUGAUCAGGGAUAACUUCUGGCCCAUUGAUGCAGAAAGGAUACUGCAGAUUCCGAUGUAUCACAAUGACACGGAGGAUUUUAUAGCCUGGCAUCUCACCAAGUCAGGCAUUUUUAGCGUCCGAUCA